CUCAGGAUGAACGCUAGCUACAGGCUUAACACAUGCAAGUCGAGGGGAAACGGGCGCCAAGCUUGCUUGGCGCAGUCGUCGACCGGCGAAUGGGUGAGUAACGCGUAUCCAACCUGGCUUCAAGCAGGGAACAGGCUUUCGAAAGAAAGAUUAAUACCCUAUGUGGUCCUCGGAAGACAUCAGAGGAGGACGAAAGAUUCAUCGCUUGAAGAUGGGGAUGCGUCUGAUUAGGCAGUUGGCGGGACAAGGGCCCACCAAACCGACGAUCAGUAGGGGUUCUGAGAGGAAGGUCCCCCACAUUGGAACUGAGACACGGUCCAAACUCCUACGGGAGGCAGCAGUGAGGAAUAUUGGUCAAUGGGCGGAAGCCUGAACCAGCCAAGUAGCGUGCAGGAUGACGGCCCUAUGGGUUGUAAACUGCUUUUGAAGGGGAGUAAAGUGAGUGACUUGUCAUUCAUUGCAAGUACCCUUGGAAUAAGGACCGGCUAAUUCCGUGCCAGCAGCCGCGGUAAUACGGAAGGUCCGGGCGUUAUCCGGAUUUAUUGGGUUUAAAGGGAGCGUAGGCUGCCCGGCAAGCGUGCUGUGAAAUACAGUGGCCCAACCACUGGACUGCAGCGCGAACUGUCGGGCUUGAGGGCGCACGACGCAGGCGGAAUUUGUGGUGUAGCGGUGAAAUGCUUAGAUAUCACGAAGAACCCCGAUUGCGAAGGCAGCUUGCGGGAGCGCGACUGACGCUGAAGCUCGAAAGUGCGGGUAUCAAACAGGAUUAGAUACCCUGGUAGUCCGCACGGUAAACGAUGGAUGCCCGUUCUGCGGCCUUCGGGCCGCGGGACCAAGCGAAAGCAUUAAGCAUCCCACCUGGGGAGUACGCCGGCAACGGUGAAACUCAAAG
rnacentral:rRNA from 1 species